rnacentral:rRNA from 1 species
CACAUGCAAGUCGAGGGGCAGCAUGGUCUUAGCUUGCUAAGGCCGAUGGCGACCGGCGCACGGGUGAGUAACACGUAUCCAACCUGCCGUCUACUCUUGGACAGCCUUCUGAAAGGAAGAUUAAUACAAGAUGGCAUCAUGAGUCCGCAUGUUCACAUGAUUAAAGGUAUUCCGGUAGACGAUGGGGAUGCGUUCCAUUAGAUAGUAGGCGGGGUAACGGCCCACCUAGUCUUCGAUGGAUAGGGGUUCUGAGAGGAAGGUCCCCCACAUUGGAACUGAGACACGGUCCAAACUCCUACGGGAGGCAGCAGUGAGGAAUAUUGGUCAAUGGGCGAGAGCCUGAACCAGCCAAGUAGCGUGAAGGAUGACUGCCCUAUGGGUUGUAAACUUCUUUUAUAAAGGAAUAAAGUCGGGUAUGGAUACCCGUUUGCAUGUACUUUAUGAAUAAGGAUCGGCUAACUCCGUGCCAGCAGCCGCGGUAAUACGGAGGAUCCGAGCGUUAUCCGGAUUUAUUGGGUUUAAAGGGAGCGUAGAUGGAUGUUUAAGUCAGUUGUGAAAGUUUGCGGCUCAACCGUAAAAUUGCAGUUGAUACUGGAUAUCUUGAGUGCAGUUGAGGCAGGCGGAAUUCGUGGUGUAGCGGUGAAAUGCUUAGAUAUCACGAAGAACUCCGAUUGCGAAGGCAGCCUGCUAAGCUGCAACUGACAUUGAGGCUCGAAAGUGUGGGUAUCAAACAGGAUUAGAUACCCUGGUAGUCCACACGGUAAACGAUGAAUACUCGCUGUUUGCGAUAUACUGCAAGCGGCCAAGCGAAAGCGUUAAGUAUUCCACCUGGGGAGUACGCCGGCAACGGUGAAACUCAAAGGAAUUGACGGGGGCCCGCACAAGCGGAGGAACAUGUGGUUUAAUUCGAUGAUACGCGAGGAACCUUACCCGGGCUUAAAUUGCAGAUGAAUUACGGUGAAAGCCGUAAGCCGCAAGGCAUCUGUGAAGGUGCUGCAUGGUUGUCGUCAGCUCGUGCCGUGAGGUGUCGGCUUAAGUGCCAUAACGAGCGCAACCCUUGUUGUCAGUUACUAACAGGUUCCGCUGAGGACUCUGACAAGACUGCCAUCGUAAGAUGUGAGGAAGGUGGGGAUGACGUCAAAUCAGCACGGCCCUUACGUCCGGGGCUACACACGUGUUACAAUGGGGGGUACAGAGGGCCGCUACCACGCGAGUGGAUGCCAAUCCCCAAAACCUCUCUCAGUUCGGACUGGAGUCUGCAACCCGACUCCACGAAGCUGGAUUCGCUAGUAAUCGCGCAUCAGCCACGGCGCGGUGAAUACGUUCCCGGGCCUUGUACACACCGCCCGUCAAGCCAUGGGAGCCGGGGGUACCUGAAGUGCGUAACCGCGAGGAGCGCCCUAGGGUAAAACUGGUGACUGGGGCUAAGUCAUAAC